GUGCUCGCUUCAGCAGCACAUAUACUAAAAUUGGAAUGAUACAGAGGAGAUUAGCGUGGCCCCUGCACAAGGAUGACAAGCAAAUUAGUGAAGCAUUCCAUAUUUUU
rnacentral:snRNA from 1 species